rnacentral:rRNA from 1 species
UACGUAGGGUCCGAGCGUUGUCCGGAAUUAUUGGGCGUAAAGGGCUCGUAGGCGGUUUGUCGCGUCGGGAGUGAAAACUCAGGGCUCAACCCUGAGCGUGCUUCCGAUACGGGCAGGACUAGAGGUAUGCAGGGGAGAACGGAAUUCCUGGUGUAGCGGUGGAAUGCGCAGAUAUCAGGAGGAACACCGGUGGCGAAGGCGGUUCUCUGGGCAUGACCUGACGCUGAGGAGCGAAAGCAUGGGGAGCGAACAGG